AUACGGAGGGUGCAAGCGUUAUUCGGAAUUACUGGGCGUAAAGCGCGCGUAGGCGGUUUGCUCAGUCGGAUGUGAAAGCCCAGGGCUCAACCUUGGAACUGCAUACGAUACUGGCAAACUAGAGUGUGAGAGAGGAUAGUGGAAUUUCCGGUGUAGCGGUGAAAUGCGUAGAUAUCGGAAGGAACAUCAGUGGCGAAGGCGACUGUCUGGCUCAACACUGACGCUGAGGUGCGAAAGCGUGGGUAGCAAACAGGAUUAGAAACCCUAGUAGUCC
rnacentral:rRNA from 1 species